ensembl:vault_RNA Vault Vault RNA
GUUCUGGUGUAGCUCAGUGGUUACUUCCUACAAUUCUAAACCGAUUUACCUGUACCAUCCCUUACAGGGAUUUAACCAUGUGCACUGUCCAGUGAUUAU